AUUGAAUAUUCAUUUCUUUGGCUCUCGUGUACCAGAAAUGUUCAUAGGAGGAUAAAAGCAAAGUAUGUUCAGUAUAUAAAUAUGGUUAUUUUGCCUGGUCUUCCUGUGGGUUAGUUCCAGAAAGGCUUACUUGUAUCAAGUGAAACAAAAGACAGCUGAGUGACUUGUAUCUGGGGCUAUCUGAUGCAGCUGAUUGUUUAAUGUUUGACACUCCUAAAUGGAGUCUGGAAUUAGAUAAAUGUGACAUAAAAGACUAAGAGCUUGUUUGGAUUGACUUAAAAGUUGAUCAAACCUACUUUUAAUUCCUUUUUCGCUUUUGAGAGAGUUUGGCUAGAUAAGCGUGAAAUAGAAA
rnacentral:misc_RNA from 1 species